UACGGGGGGGGCAAGCGUUGUUCGGAAUUACUGGGCGUAAAGAGCGUGUAGGCGGCCUGUUAAGUCUGGCGUGAAAUCUCGGGGCUCAACCCCGAGCGGUCGUGAGAAACUGGCAGGCUAGAGUGCGGGAGAGGAGAGUGGAAUUCCUGGUGUAGCGGUGAAAUGCGCAGAUAUCAGGAGGAACACCGAUGGCGAAGGCAGCUCGCUGGGACGUUACUGACGCUGAGACGCGAAAGCGUGGGGAGCAAACAGG
rnacentral:rRNA from 1 species